rnacentral:rRNA from 1 species
CCUACGGGUGGCUGAACCAGCCAAGUCGCGUGAGGGAAGACGGCCCUACGGGUUGUAAACCUCUUUUGUCAGGGAGCAAGGUGCAGGUCGGGACCUGCUGUGAGAGUACCUGAAGAAAAAGCAUCGGCGAACUCCGUGCCAGCAGCCGCGGUAAUACGGGGGAUGCGAGCGUUAGCCGGAUUUAUGGGGUUUAAAGGGUGCGCAGGCGGAGGCACAAGUCAGGGGUAAAAUGGCGGGGCUCAACCCCGCUCCGCAGUUGAAACUGUGUCCCUUGAGUGCGCGAAGGGUAGGCGGAAUGCGUGGUGUAGCGGUGAAAUGCAUAGAUAUCACGCAGAACUCCGAUCGCGAAGGCAGCCUACCGGCGCGCAACUGACGCUCAUGCACGAAAGCGUGGGUAUCGAACAGGAUUAGAUACCCGAGUAGUC